AUUGAACGCUGGCGGCAUGCUUUACACAUGCAAGUCGAACGGUAACAGGCCGCAAGGUGCUGACGAGUGGCGAACGGGUGAGUAAUGCAUCGGAACGUGCCCAAUCGUGGGGGAUAACGCAGCGAAAGCUGUGCUAAUACCGCAUACGAUCUGUGGAUGAAAGCGGGGGACUCGCCAGGGCCUCGCGCGAUUGGAGCGGCCGAUGUCAGAUUAGGUAGUUGGUGAGGUAAAGGCUCACCAAGCCAACGAUCUGUAGCUGGUCUGAGAGGACGACCAGCCACACUGGGACUGAGACACGGCCCAGACUCCUACGGGAGGCAGCAGUGGGGAAUUUUGGACAAUGGGGGCAACCCCGAUCCAGCAAUGCCGCGUGCAGGAAGAAGGCCUUCGGGUUGUAAACUGCUUUUGUACGGAACGAAACGGUCUGGGUUAAUACCCUGGGCUAAUGACGGUACCGUAAGAAUAAGCACCGGCUAACUACGUGCCAGCAGCCGCAGUAA
rnacentral:rRNA from 1 species